AGGGUUUGAUCAUGGCUCAGAAUCAACGCUGGCGGCGUGCUUAACACAUGCAAGUCGAGCGCGAAAGCGGCUUCGGUCGUGAGUAGAGCGGCGGACGGGUGAGGAACACGUGGGUAACCUACCCUCGGGUGGGGAAUAACCCAGGGAAACCUGGGCUAAUUCCGCAUAACAUCUUUAGCUCGCAAGAGUUUUGGAUCAAAGCUGGGGACCCUUCGGGGCCUGGCGCCAGAGGAGGGGCCCGCGGCCGAUUAGCUUGUUGGUGAGGUAACGGCUCACCAAGGCUCCGAUCGGUAGCCGGCCUAAGAGGGCGGACGGCCACACUGGGACUGAGACACGGCCCAGACUCCUACGGGAGGCAGCAGUGGGGAAUUUUUGUCAAUGGGGGAAACCUUGAACAAGCAACGCCGCGUGGAGGACGAAGACCUUCGGGUCGUAAACUCCUGUCGGAGGGGACGAAAGCGGUUACGGUUAAUACCCGUAGUCGUUGACGGUACCCUUAGAGGAAGCCCCGGCUAACUCCGUGCCAGCAGCCGCGGUAAUACGGGGGGGGCAAGCGUUGUUCGGAAUUACUGGGCGUAAAGGGCGUGUAGGCGGCCCUGCAAGUCUUUCGUGAAAUCCCACAGCUCAACUGUGGAACUGCGAGGGAAACUGCAGGACUUGAGUCCGGGAGAGGAGAGUGGAAUUCCCAGUGUAGCGGUGAAAUGCGUAGAUAUUGGGAGGAAUACCGGUGGCGAAGGCGGCUCUCUGGACCGGAACUGACGCUGAGGCGCGAAAGCUAGGGGAGCAAACGGGAUUAGAUACCCCGGUAGUCCUAGCCUUAAACGAUGAGCACUUGGUGGUGGCGGGUAUCGACCCCUGCCGUG
rnacentral:rRNA from 1 species